UACGAAGGGUCCAAGCGUUCUCCGGAUUUAUUGGGUUUAAAGGGUGCGUAGGCGGCCUAUUAAGUCAGUGGUGAAAGCCCGGAGCUCAACUCCGGAACUGCCAUUGAUACUGAUGGGCUUGAGUACAGUUGAGGUUGGCGGAAUGUGUCAUGUAGCGGUGAAAUGCUUAGAUAUGACACAGAACACCGAUUGCGAAGGCAGCUGGCUAAGCUGUUACUGACGCUGAGGCACUAAAGCGUGGGGAUCAAACAGG
rnacentral:rRNA from 1 species